AUACGGAGGAUGCGAGCGUUAUCUGGAUUUAUUGGGUUUAAAGGGAGCGUAGGUGGGAUAUUAAGUCAGCUGUGAAAGUUUGGGGCUCAACCUUAAAAUUGCAGUUGAUACUGGUUUCCUUGAGUACGGUACAGGUGGGCGGAAUUCGUGGUGUAGCGGUGAAAUGCUUAGAUAUCACGAAGAACUCCGAUCGCGAAGGCAGCUCACCGGGCCGGAACUGACACUGAUGCUCGAAAGUGCGGGUAUCAAACAGGAUUAGAUACCCUGGUAGUCCGCACAGUAAACGAUGAAUACUCGCUGUUUGCGAUACACUGUAAGCGGCCAAGCGAAAGCGUUAAGUAUUCCACCUGGGGAGUACGCCGGCAACGGUGAAACUCAAAGGAAUUGACGGGG
rnacentral:rRNA from 1 species